rnacentral:rRNA from 1 species
AAGAAUUUAAAGGUCGAACAGACCUAAAUAUUUGAACUUCUACGCCCAACUUUUUCCUUAAUCCAACAUCGAGGUCGCAAUCUUUCUUAUCGAUAAGAACUCUCAAAAAACAUUACGCUGUUAUCCCUAAGGUAACUUAAUCUUAUAAUCACUAAAAACGGAUCAAUUAUUCACUCAUUAGUGUUUACCUAUUAUAAAGAGUUAAUUAAAUCUUCAUAUCACCCCAAUAAAAUAAAUUUUUUACUUAAAUUAAACAAAACACCCAAAUCCAAUUUAAUAUCUAAUUUAUAAAGCUCUAUAGGGUCUUCUCGUCCUCUAACUUCAUUUAAGCCUUUUAACUCAAAAGUUAAGUUCAAUUUAUUAAAAUGAGACAGUUAAUACUUCGUUAAACCAUUCAUACCAGUCCUCAAUUAAAAGACUAAUGAUUAUGCUACCUUUGCACAGUCAAAAUACUGCGGCCCUUCAAAUCUUUUAUUUCAGUGGGCAGGUCAGACUUUAAAUUAUUCUCAAAAAGAC